rnacentral:rRNA from 1 species
AUUGAACGCUGGCGGCAGGCUUAACACAUGCAAGUCGAGCGAGCGGCGGACGGGUGAGUCAUGUCUGGGAAACUGCCUGAUGGAGGGGGAUAACUACUGGAAACGGUAGCUAAUACCGCAUACCAUCAGAUGUGCCCAGAUGGGAGUAGCUAGUAGGUCGGGUAAUGGCUCACCUAGGCGACGAUCCCUAGCUGGUCUGAGAGGAUGACCAGCCAAGUUGGAACUGAGACACGGUCCCGACUCCUACGGGAGGCAGCAGUGGGGAAUAUUGCACAAUGGGCGCAAGCCUGAUGCAGCCAUGCCGCGUGGGUGAAGAAGGCCUUCGGGUUGUAAAGCACGUUCAGCUGGGAGGCGUUACUGGCAGAAGAAGCAACGGCUAACUCCGUGCCAGCAGCCGCGGUAAUAC